rnacentral:rRNA from 1 species
CCAAUAGCGUAUAUUAAAGUUGUUGCAGUUAAAAAGCUCGUAGUUGAAUUUCGGGGUUAGUAGGUUGGUCAUGCCUCUGGUAUGUACUGGUCUCACUGAUUCCUCCUUCCUGAUGAACCUUAAUGCCAUUAAUUUGGUGUUUUGGGGAAUUUGGACUGUUACUUUGAAAAAAUUAGAGUGUUUAAAGCAAGCUAACGCUUGAAUACAUUAGCAUGGAAUAAUGAAAUAGGACGUUCGAUCCUAUUUUGUUGGUUUCUAGGAUUGACGUAAUGAUUAAUAGGGAUAGUUGGGGGCAUUAGUAUUCAAUUGUCAGAGGUGAAAUUCUUGGAUUUAUUGAAGACUAACUACUGCGAAAGCAUUUGCCAAGGAUGUUUUCAUUAAUCAAGAACGAAAGUUAGGGGAUCGAAGACGAUCAGAUACCGUCGUAGUCUUAACCAUAAACUAUGCCGACUAGGGAUCGGAUGAUGUUAAUUUUUUAAUGACUCAUUCGACGCCUUACG